rnacentral:rRNA from 1 species
UACGGGGGGAGCAAGCGUUGUUCGGAUUUACUGGGCGUAAAGGGCGCGUAGGCGGCCACCGCAAGUCGGUUGUGAAAUCUCUGGGCUUAACCCAGAAAGGUCAACCGAUACUGCGGGGCUAGAGUGCAGAAGGGGCAACUGGAAUUCUCGGUGUAGCGGUGAAAUGCGUAGAUAUCGAGAGGAACACCUGCGGCGAAGGCGGGUUGCUGGGCUGACACUGACGCUGAAGCGCGAAAGCUAGGGGAGCGAAAGGG